UUUGGAAUGAUUGGCAGGUCCUGAUGCUGGCGCGGGCAGGGCUUCUCCAGCCCCUGAGGCACUAACGGGGACAUGAAGGAAGUCACCCAGACUCCAAGCCCAAGAUGGACCCAAAGGGCAGCCACAAGAGGACCACUGCCAUUGCUGAUGUACGUACACGGGGUGCUGGCCUGGCCCGCAUGUGAUCACUUACUCAGCCCUGCACGCAAGGAGCCCCUCUGCCUCCAUGCCAUGGGAGUCCUGGGCCUCAACAGGUCAGAGCCAGCAAGAGGUUGGAAAGCAGAGGCUCAGAAAGACAUGGUUUCUUGCCCUGAUCACACAACGUGCCAAUACCAGAACUUGGAUCUGAACCCAGCUGUCGCCCACCGAGGUGCUCCUAUCCACAACGCAUCAGCGUCGCUUCAUAAAGCCCUGUGGGUCCAGAGCCAAGAUGAAGGCAGAUGGGCGAUCAGGAAGGAGAUUUCGGUGGACUCUCCUGGGCUCAGACGAGCAUUGAAUGGAUUCUACUUAUUUAUUUGACAGAGAGAGAGAGCACAAGCAGGGGGAGCUUCAGACAGAGGGAGAGAGAGAAGCAGACUCCUUGCUGAGCAGGGAGCCCGAACUGGGGCUCAGUCGCAGGACCCCGGGAUCAUGACCUGAGCCGAAGGCAGCCACUUAACCAGCUGAGCCACCCGGGCGCCCCUAAGAAAGUGCUUUAAAGUCUAACAUGGUGAGUAGCAGAAACUUCAGAUCUUAUUUCAUCCUCUGAGACAGUUUCCUGGCGGGGCAUCAAACUUCCCUUCUGAGGCUCUGUGCAGAUUAGAUUAGAUCAUGCAUGUCACUG